AUACGGAGGAUCCGAGCGUUAUCCGGAUUUAUUGGGUUUAAAGGGUGCGCAGGCGGCCAUUUAAGUCAGCGGUUAAAUCGUGGGGCUCAACCCCAUUCUGCCGUUGAUACUGGGUGGAUUGAUUGCGGUCGAGGUUGGCGGAAUUCGUUGUGUAGCGGUGAAAUGCAUAGAUAUGACGAAGAACACCGAUUGCGUAGGCAGCUGACCAGACCGCAAAUGACGCUCAUGCACGAAAGUGCGGGGAUCGAACAGGAUUAGAUACCCUGGUAGUCCGCACAGUAAACGAUGAAUACUUGUUUUCGGCGAUAUAAUGUCGGAGGCAAAGCGAAAGCGAUAAGUAUUCCACCUGGGGAGUACGCCGGCAACGGUGAAACUCAAAUGAAUUGACGGGG
rnacentral:rRNA from 1 species